rnacentral:lncRNA from 1 species
AUUUUGAAGCCACCGAAUCAGGCCUCAAACGGCACCGUUUUGUGAUUCUUAUAACAUUAAAGAAAAAACCCUAAAUACAUAUUUGGCUAUUUUAAAACAGAUUUAAAGUAAGAGAAGUGCUUCAUUCCCCUCCGCCGUUCGACGCCUCUCCAUUUCAAUCUCCGGAAUCCCUAUCCAAGUUUCGACUGUGACGAAGUGGACG